UACGAAGGGGGCUAGCGUUGUUCGGAAUCACUGGGCGUAAAGCGCACGUAGGCGGAUCUUUAAGUCAGGGGUGAAAUCCCGAGGCUCAACCUCGGAACUGCCUUUGAUACUGGGGAUCUCGAGUCCGGGAGAGGUGAGUGGAACUGCGAGUGUAGAGGUGAAAUUCGUAGAUAUUCGCAAGAACACCAGUGGCGAAGGCGGCUCACUGGUCCGGUACUGACGCUGAGGUGCGAAAGCGUGGGGAGCAAAUAGG
rnacentral:rRNA from 1 species